AAACUGAAAAAAAAUUGUUUUAAGAGCACUGCAGUUAUGGAAAUGUGUCGCCUAAAAUACUCUGCAACGGUUUGUGGGGAUGUCUAGAGCUGCGUUAUGAAAGAAGGGCUCUGGGCCAGAGUGUUCCAGGGUAAGAAGAAGCCAAACCCGAGCCCCGGGAGCGUGCUGAUCCUGGGGAUGUCACAACCCCAGCCAAGCGCCCGGGAGCAGGGGGCCCUGGCGCUGGCCUUCCGGCCCCAUACUGGGCAGGGAAAGCUGCGGGCUCCCUCCCGGUGUCCCCGACUCCUUGGCGUCCCACCUGGGGCCCCAGCACCCUCUCUGAAGAGCUGGAUUCUUAAAGCAAACCCAAGGGGCAAGUACCACCAUCCUCCUGCUCCUGGUCACGAGCAUCACCAGCAUCACCGUCAUCCUCAUCACCAGUGUCACCAUCACCACCAUCAGCAUCAACUCACCAGCAUCACCACGUUAGUAGCAGCAUCGGCAUCAUCAGCAUCAUCACCGUCACCACCAUCACCAUCAUCACCACCACCAUCACUAUCACUGCCUUUACCAUCACAUCAUCACUAGUCUCACCAUCAUCACCAUCACUAGCAUCACCAUCAUCACCAUCACCACCACCAUCACCAUCAUCACCAUCACCACCACCAUCACCAUCAUCACCAUCACCGUCAUCAUCAUCACCAUCACCACCACCAUCACCAUCAUCACCAUCACCGCCUUCACCGUCACCAUCGCCAUCAUCACCAUCACCAUCACUAUCACUGCCUUCACCAUCACAUCAUCACUAGUCUCACCAUCAUCAUCAUCACUAGCAUCACCAUCACCAUCACCACCACCAUCACCAUCAUCACCAUCACCGCCUUCACCGUCAUCACCACCACCACCAUCAUCACCACCAUCACCGUCAUCAUCACCACCACCAUCACCAUCAUCACCAUCACCGUCAUCAUCAUCACCAUCAUCAUCACCAUCAUCACCAUCAUCACCAUCACCGCCUUCACCGUCACCAUCGCCAGCUUCACCAGCGUCAGCAUCGCCACCAUCUUCUUCACUGUCAUCACCAUCAUCAGCAUCAACCUUCCCUUCUUACAGACGAGGGAACAAGUGCUCAGAGAGAAUAAGUAAGUUGCCCAAGGCUAGUAUGGUAAGCAGACUAAUGCCCCCCAAGGUGUCCACACCCUGAUGCCUGAAACCUGUGAGCAUGUGACCUGACAUGGUAAAAAAGACUUUGCAGAUGUGAUUGAGGACCUUGAGAUGGGCAAUCACCCUGGACCAUGCAGGUGGGUCCAGAGUCAUCACAAGUAUCCUUACAAGAGGGAGGCAGGCAAGUCAGGGUCAGAGAGAGCCCGGGAGGUGCCAUGACUGGCUCUGAAGAUGGAGAAAGGCGCCCUGGGCUGAGAAACGCAGGCGGCUUCUAGAGACCGGGAAAGGCAAGGCAAGGGAUCUCCCCUUAGCCUCUGGAAGGAGCCACCUUGAUCUUAGCUAGGGACACCAGGUCAGACUUCUGACCUUCAGAAAUUUGCAUGGUUUUAAGCUGCUUAAUUUGUGGCCAUGUGUAAUGGUGUGUUAAGGAAUGAUUUUAAAAUCUGGAUCUCCUGCUACGUUUCCUUGUGCCCCUUUUGGAACAGCUCAAUGUGCUGUUCGUGACACCAGCAGCCACUCCUCGAGGUCGGCCUGGCACUGUGCUGUGGUUUAAGCCAAGUCCAGCACCACAGGGCCGACCCCAGCCCAUGGUAGCCCAUGGCCGGUGGAGGGGCUCGCCACAAGGACCAGCCACGGCAGACGGGGGACUUCAGAUGCCGCCCUCCUCGCCCUUUUAUUCCGAGUCUCAUGUUUUGGUAAAAAUGACACAAGCCUAUUAGAAAGAUUCAAGCCAUCCAGAAAAGUGCAAAGAAGCAAGUGAAAGCCCCCAAGUCCACCUGUCAGCUAGACCAUCUGGUGACAUCCGUCCCUGUGUACCCCGGUGGAGGACGGAUGGAGGGAGAGGUGGACGAGCAUCCUUCUAAAUGCUUUGCCUGCAGAUACCAGUUUUGUGGUUUUUGGACUUGUUACCUUUCUGUUUUAAGAGAAAUGUUUGAUGCUUUAGUUUUAUCUAAGGUACCUGUUAUUGGGGGAAUUUAUUUUCAUAUGCAAGUCUGGAACUGGAUUUAAGAAUGCGUAAAUAUAAACGCAAAAUGCACCACAAAGAUAUUCUGAGGGCAUUUAGCUGCCUUCGUUUUGGAGCCUGGUCUUCCCUUUUUAAAUAUAUAUCUUACAUAUAAGGAAAUCAAACAUUUAUCUUCUAGUAGUCUAUUUUAUAGGCUCUCCCUUCCUCCCCCCUCCCUCCUCCUCUCCCCCCCACUUUCCCUCCCUCCCUCUCUCUUUCUCUCUCUCUGAUGGAAAGAACCAGGGACAGCUGGGGAACAUGCAGUGUUUGCAAGUUGAUUAUUCUGCACUGUAUAGUUGACUGCUAAGUGCAAAAAUUAUUUCACAAGCUCUGCUUAGUGGAGAAAAGGUGACCAGCAGUCUAAUCAUUUUCCCUCA
ensembl:lincRNA